rnacentral:rRNA from 1 species
GAUGAACGCUGGCGGCGUGCCUAACACAUGCAAGUCGAACGAAGCAAUUGAAGGAAGUUUUCGGAUGGAAUUCGAUUGACUGAGUGGCGGACGGGUGAGUAACGCGUGGAUAACCUGCCUCACACUGGGGGAUAACAGUUAGAAAUGACUGCUAAUACCGCAUAAGCGCACAGUACCGCAUGGUACAGUGUGAAAAACUCCGGUGGUGUGAGAUGGAUCCGCGUCUGAUCAGCCAGUUGGCGGGGUAACGGCCCACCAAGGCAACGAUCGGUAGCCGGACUGAGAGGUUGAACGGCCACAUUGGGACUGAGACACGGCCCAG